rnacentral:rRNA from 1 species
GUGCCAGCAGCCGCGGUAAUACGAAGGUGGCAAGCGUUACUCGGAAUUACUAGGCGUAAAGGGCAGGUAGGUGGCUCAGCAAGUCUGUUGUGAAAGCUCUUGGCUUAACUGAGAGAGGUCAACAGAAACUGCUGGGCUUGAGUGUGGGAGAGGGUACUGGAAUUCCCGGUGUAGCGGUGAAAUGCGCAGAGAUCGGGAGGAACACCGACGGCGAAAGCAGGUACCUGGACCACUACUGACACUCAGCUGCGAAAGCUAGGGGAGCAAACAGGAUUAGAUACCCUGGUAGUCC